rnacentral:rRNA from 1 species
UACGUAGGGUGCAAGCGUUGUCCGGAAUUAUUGGGCGUAAAGGGCUCGUAGGCGGCCAACUAAGUCAGACGUGAAAUCCCUCGGCUUAACCGGGGAACUGCGUCUGAUACUGGAUGGCUUGAGUUCGGGAGAGGGAUGCGGAAUUCCAGGUGUAGCGGUGAAAUGCGUAGAUAUCUGGAGGAGCACCGGUGGCGAAGGCGGCAUCCUGGACCGACACUGACGCUGAGGAGCGAAAGCCAGGGGAGCAAACGGG